AAGUCGUAACAAGGUUUCCGUAGGUGAACCUGCGGAAGGAUCAUUAACACAAUUUUACUGUGAUAAAUCCGUUGAAUUCUCGAAUUCAAUGGUAUCCACCCCAUUAUUGACGAACUUUUCUAGAUGUUAAAACAUAGAGCUAGUCUUUAUGUUUUUAACAUUCUAAACCUUUUUCUAUAUCCACACAAAUUUAAACCCCUUUUACAACAUGUAUUAGACUGAAAUGAAAAUUUUCUAUCAAAAAAUUGAUAAAACAACUUUUAACAACGGAUAUCUUGGCUCUC
rnacentral:misc_RNA from 1 species